UUGCGAUUUUAGGCCCUGUCAUUUCAAUGAUCUUAAGAGCCCGGAGAUAUCUGUGAUCAGCAACCCUUCCACGAAUCACCGUCCUGCAGACAUACCUCCACAAUACAAUGAAAUAUAAAUAAAUAUAAUAAAAAGGGAGCCAGUAAUGUGAUCCGGCAGUGAGCUGCUUUCCAGUUUCCCAAUGAUUGUUAUUUGUAACAAUGUGUAUGUGUAUUUAAGACGCUAAUAAAAAAAAAAUAUCCUGA